GACGAACGCUGGCGGCGUGCUUAACACAUGCAAGUCGAACGAUGAUGCCAGCUUGCUGGUGGGUUAGUGGCGAACAGGUGAGUAACACGUGAGAAAACUGCCCCUGACUUCGGGAUAACCGCGGGAAACAGUGGCUAAUACCGCAUAUGACGCGCUAUAGCACGGUGGUGUGUGGAGAGAUUUAUUGUUUGGGGAUGGUCUGGCGGCCUAUCAGCUUGUUGGUGGGGUGGUGGCCUACCAAGGCGACGACGGGUAGCCGGCCGGAGAGGGUGACCGGCCAGACUCAGAGUGACAGACAGACCAGACUGCUACGGGAGGGAGCAGGGGGUAAGAAUGCACACAGGGCGGAAGCCUGAUGCAGGGAGGCCGCGUGAGGGAGGGCGGCCUGCGGGUUGUAAGCCUCUUUCAGUAGGGAAGAAGGCCUCCGGGUUGACGGUACCUGCAGAAGAAGCGCCGGCUAACUACGUG
rnacentral:rRNA from 1 species